rnacentral:rRNA from 1 species
AGUCGAACGGAAAGGCCUUUUCGGAGGUACUCGAGUGGCGAACGGGUGAGUAACACGUGGGUGAUCUGCCCUGCACUCUGGGAUAAGCCUGGGAAACUGGGUCUAAUACCGGAUAGGACCGCACUUUAGUGUGUGUGGUGGAAAGUUUUUUCGGUGUAGGAUGAGCCCGCGGCCUAUCAGCUUGUUGGUGGGGUAAUGGCCUACCAAGGCGGCGACGGGUAGCCGGACUGAGAGGUUGGUCGGCCACAUUGGGACUGAGAUACGGCCCAGACUCCUACGGGAGGCAGCAGUGGGGAAUAUUGCACAAUGGGCGCAAGCCUGAUGCAGCGACGCCGCGUGGGGGAUGACGGCCUUCGGGUUGUAAACUCCUUUCGCCAGGGACGAAGCGUUUUGUGACGGUACCUGGAGAAGAAGCACCGGCUAACUACGUGCCAGCAGCCGCGGUAAUACGUAGGGUGCAAGCGUUGUCCGGAAUUACUGGGCGUAAAGAGCUCGUAGGUGGUUUGUCACGUCGUCUGUGAAAUUCCACAGCUUAACUGUGGGCGUGCAGGCGAUACGGGCUGACUUGAGUACUGUAGGGGUAACUGGAAUUCCUGGUGUAGCGGUGAAAUGCGCAGAUACCAGGAGGAACACCGAUGGCGAAGGCAGGUUACUGGGCAGUUACUGACGCUGAGGAGCGAAAGCAUGGGUAGCAAACAGGAUUAGAUACCCUGGUAGUCCA